rnacentral:lncRNA from 1 species
AAGAGAUGCAAACUGGCGCAAACACUCUUUUACUUCCAAUUGGUUUUGGAAUAUGAGCUCCAAGCAAACUCAUCCCUCAAGCUUACUCACCUACAAAAAAAAUUCAAAGUACACCGUUGCAAUUACACAAAAUGAUGAGUAAUUCAGGGUCAUCUUGCUACAAAAAAGCAAAACUAGCAACAUAGAGCACGCACACUACUGAUUUACCCUUUCCUUUUUAAUUUUUUGACUGUACUUCAAACUGAUGGUCCCUUGAUUUUUUUGUAUCUUUUCCUGGUGCUACUGUCUUCUUGGUUAUCGUCUCUGUCCUACUACCUACCUAUCUCUGUUGAUGCAUCUCUAUGUCACUAUGUGAUUCUAACAACCAAGAUGCACACGUGCCCUCUGUUCAAUACACCACAAAAAGUUGAGUCAAUCCUAUUUUUCCCUGGUAAGAAGGUGCACUUGCAAUCUCAGAAAUGACGGUACAAAACCUCACAUAAUAAAAUUCCGUUUAUUUUUCUUCUCAUUUGCAGACACAGACACACCUUGAACCAAUGCUUCAGCUUUUCCUUGCUCCAAAACUAUCAGUACCUCUUACAUAAAAUCACAUGCUUCACUGUCAAUGCAACAAAUUAAAGGCCUAUUUGAAUCCCAUGAACUAAUUUAGCCACUUUGUGAGCUAAAAAUCCAAACAUAAAGAGCUAAAAGUAACUAAAAUGGUAAAAGAUAUUCUUUUAGUCAUUUUUAACUCUUUCUGUUUCAAUAUUUAGCUUCUAGAGUGACGAAACUUGCUCUAGCUCAAGGGAUCCAAACAUGCCCUAAGUAGUUGUGUUCUCAGCUUUUAGUGCAACGUGGUUAGAUUUGUCAGGAUUAUAUCUUCUUCUUCAAAUAGAACAAUCUUAUACACAUUAUUUACAUCAAUGUGUAUACAAAUUACAAUCAUUUCUAUCCAUGAUGUAGCGCAGGUAAAUGGGUUGAUCCCAGAUCCCACAUUGAUAGUCUUCUUAGUAUAAACUCAUGUAUGCGGACUGGCCCAACUCAGACAAGAGCGCGGCAACACCGCGCAUAUACAUGGAAUGAGAAGGGCUCAGCUACAGCCAAGCGAAUAAAUAUACUGUGAAUUAACCCUAACCUAACCGAAGCGUCCGCCUCCCACACACGGGACUCCGGCCGCGAGAACCCGCGACUAAGCCAGGACGCGGGACGCCACAGCCACCGGCCUCAGCAUCCGCCUAGGACGAAUAACCCUUCUAGGCUGCCGCCGCCGCCGUCCUUAGCUCAUAUUGUUGCCGGCGAAGAGCGCCCCAGGUAUUCCCAGCCCCUUCUCUUUCCUGUCCGCUGCGCAAAACUGAAUUCUCGAACUCUCAACCUCAAGUUAUUUGGCUACUUCUAACUUUUUGCAAAAAAUUAUCGGGUCCCUUUACUAGAUCCGCCCCUGCUAUGGAGUCGGCGGUGAACCCGAAGGCGUACCCGCUGGCUGAUGCGCAGCUGACGAUAGGUAUCAUCGAUAUCAUCCAGCAGGCCGCCAACUACAAGCAGCUCAAGAAGGGAGCUAACGAAGGUACCGUGCCAAUCCCUUGUGCACGUCUCCUGACCUGUACUCUGUUAAUUCUGGGCCUUUCUUACUCAACUCG